GAAGAGUCUAGUCAGAGUGAAGAUUUAGAUGAAGAUACCACAAGUAAUACAGUCAGAAUUGAUGAAGGAGCAAGCUCGCAUGAACAACCUAUGUUCAUGGUAUUUGAAAAAUUUUGCUUUAACUGCAAGGCUGAAAAUCCAAAAGUACACAUUAAAAACAUUGGUUCGAUGGCCAUUGUAGAG